GCCGGUGUGUUCAGUGGUUAGAACAUUGGCUCUCCCACCAAAGGAUCGCAGGUUCAAUUCCUGAUCAAGGGCG
rnacentral:tRNA from 1 species